rnacentral:rRNA from 1 species
UACGUAGGAUGCAAGCGUUGUCCGGAAUUAUUGGGCGUAAAGAGCGAGCAGGCGGUCUGGAAAGUUGGACGUGAAAUUUUAGGGCUUAACCCUAAAGGGUCGUCCAAAACUCCCAGACUAGAGUGCAGGAGAGGAAAGCGGAAUUCCCGGUGUAGUGGUGAAAUGCGCAGAUAUCAGGAGGAACACCGGUGGCGAAGGCGGUUCUCUGGGCAUUACCUGACGCUGAGGAGCGAAAGUGUGGGGAGCGAACAGG